CUUAGAAGCAGCCAUCCUUUAAAGAUAGCGUAACAGCUCACUGGUCAAGCGUUCUUGCGUCGAAAAUGUACCGGGGCUUAAGUCAUUCACCGAAGACGCGGGCGCAUUUAUGCGCGGUAGCGGAGCGUUCCGUAAGCCUGUGAAGGGGUCCUGCGAGGGGCCUUGGAGGUAUCGGAAGUGAGAAUGCUGACAUGAGUAACGAUAAAAGGGGUGAGAGACCCCUUCGCCGAAAGAUCAAGGUUUCCUGCGCAAUGCUAAUCAGCGCAGGGUUAGCCGGCCCCUAAGACGAGGCAGACAUGCGUAGUCGAUGGGAACUCAGUUUAAUAUUACUGGGCCAUUGGGUAGUGACGGAUUGCGUAUAUCGUAUCCCCUUAUUGGAUUGGGGGUGCGGUGAAGCAGUUCCAGGAAAUAGCUCCCAUUUAAGACCGUACCCCAAACCGACACAGGUGAUCAGGUAGAGCAUACCAAGGCGCUUGAGAGAACUCUGCUGAAGGAACUCGGCAAAUUACCUCCGUAACUUCGGGAGAAGGAGGCCCGCUUUUAAGGCAACUUUUAAGCGGGGGCACAGACCAGGGGGUGGCGACUGUUUAUUAAAAACAUAGGGCUCUGCGAAGUUGCAAAACGACGUAUAGGGUCUGACGCCUGCCCGGUGCUUGAAGGUUAAAUGGAGUGGUGAAAGCUGCGAAAUGAAGCCCAAGUAAACGGCGGCCGUAACAAUAACGGUCCUAAGGUAGCGAAAUUCCUUGUCGGGUAAGUUCCGACCCGCACGAAAGGAGUAACGAUUUGGACACUGUCUCGGAGAGAGACUCGGCGAAAUAGAAUUGUCUGUGAAGAUGCGGACUACCUGCACCUGGACAGAAAGACCCUAUGAAGCUUUACUGUAGCUUGAAAUUGAGUUUGAGUCUAUUUUGCGCAGUAUAGGUGGGAGGCUAAGAAUAUGUACUUGCGGGUAUAUAGGAGCCAUCAGUGAGAUACCACUCUAAUUAGACUAGAAUUCUAACUUUGAUAGCCGUUAACCGGCCAAAGAACAGUUUCAGGUGGGCAGUUUGACUGGGGCGGUCGCCUCCUAAAAAGUAACGGAGGCGUGCAAAGGUUUCCUCAGGCUGGUCAGAAAUCAGUCGUAGAGUGUAAAGGUAUAAGGAAGCUUGACUGCGAGACCUACAAGUCGAGCAGAGACGAAAGUCGGCCUUAGUGAUCCGACAGUACUGAGUAGAAAGGCUGUCGCUCAACGGAUAAAAGUUACUCUAGGGAUAACAGGCUGAUCUCCCCCAAGAGUUCACAUCGACGGGGAGGUUUGGCACCUCGAUGUCGGCUCAUCGCAUCCUGGGGCGGUAGCACGUCCCAAGGGUUGGGCUGUUCGCCCAUGAAAGCGGUACGCGAGCUGGGUUCAGAACGUCGUGAGACAGUUCGGUCCAUAUCCGGUGCAGGCGUUAGAGUAUUGAGAGGAUUUCUCCCUAGUACGAGAGGACCAGGAGAGACAUACCUCUGGUGUACCAGUUAUUGUGCCAACAGUAAACGCUGGGUAGCCAAGUAUGGAAAGGAUAACCGCUGAAAGCAUCUAAGUGGGAAGCCUACCUCAAGAUGAGUACUCUUACCUUUUAGGAUAAGAUCACGGUAAGAUUAACCGUUUGAUAGGCGUUAAGUGUAAGUGUAGCAAUAUAUUCAGCUGAAACGUACUAACAGAUCGAAUGCUUAAUACU
rnacentral:rRNA from 1 species